rnacentral:pre_miRNA from 1 species
AUAUGAAUCACCUGGGAAUCUUAUUAAAAUGCAGCUUCUGAUUCAACAGGUCUCAGAUGGGGCGUUAGAUUCUGCAGUUUUAACAGGCUUCCGGGUGAUGCUGAU